rnacentral:snRNA from 1 species
CCACUGCAGAGUCAGGAU